UCUCCCGCCUCGUCGCCGGGCUCGGCAACAACCCGCAUACGACCCUGACUUCGAGGCGGCCUACGUGGCCGCUCAUCAAGAAUAUCAGGUGGCCUUCAACCAGCACAAGCAGCACUUCAUGGAGUACAUGGCAUAUAUACAUGCGUCGAUGGUGGCCAAUCAAACCGGACAGACAGAUGGAUUU